ACCAAAUUAGAGUUAUCUCCCAUACUGAUGCCCGGAUGAUACAGUCGGGUGCGAUUUGUUUGAGAGAAAGUUUGCUGCCAACAAGCGGUGUGUUUUGAAAGAAAAUCUAAAACAUCAACAUGGGAAAAGUGAAAGUGCACGUCGUUUACUGUGGCGGAUGAGGUUACGCCCCCAAGUUCCGAAAGCUGGAGACAGAAUUGACGGACGAAUUUGGGGGCGAUAUUGAAGUGACUUCAGAGGCCACUCCAAACACCAGUGGCAAGUUUGAAGUCACGGUGAAUGGCAAGCUUGUGCAUUCAAAAGCAAAUGGUGAUCAAUUCGUUAACAAUAAAGACAAGUUAACAAAGAUCAUUAAUGCCAUCAAUGCAGCUCUCUAGAAGCUGUUUUUGAAGUUGACAAGGGGCCAGUGAGAAGUUGGCUGAUCUUGGAUGGUUUCACUUCAAGCGUCAUGAGAAUGAAGAUGCCAGAUAAAACUUGGUCUGGUGUUGGAUGGUACAGUGAUGGCUCGACCUGAUGCUAUUCUACAUCUCUAAUUUCUCCUGGAUCUCCUUGACGGUGUAGCCCAGCAUGACACUUAAAGUUUGCGGACCUUGGCUUUGAGUCUGCUUAGGUCAUUCUGAGCAAAUCUUAGAACAUAUAUACCUUUCUGUGUGAAUGCUUUAGAUAAUAUGGUGUAAUGGAUCACCUCUAUCUCCUGUUCCCUGCCUGAAAGUACCUAUAACAGUUUUUAUGAUAAAGUGUUGUUUUUGGUCAUUCUGUUUGUGUGUGUGGAUUAUCAGAUUCGAAGUUAUUUUCAUCUCAUAUCCAAAGUCUUUAUGUCCAUUGUGUUAUAUGUUUUUUAACAAUUGUCAAUUUUUUAUGCAAACAUACCUGUAUGGAUUACAGGGUGAGAAAUAACACUUGUGUAUAUUUCUGAAUACUCACAACUAUUUUGAUUUAACUGCUGGUGUGUGUCUCAGGAUGUGCAUGGAGUUAUUUCUCUAUUUUAAUAGUUUAAUAUAACAAUUCAUUUGCUAUGUGAAUUAGAGUACCACAAGAUCUAAAUUAUUGAGAAUUGUUAGAAAAUUUGUUUUUGUUAGAUAAUUUGAGAUAAAUUGAAUUUAUAUGAUGAAAUUGACUGAGAUCUUCAAGUACAACAUCUGUGAUACAGAGACAACUAACAUCUCAGGCACUCAUUGAUAAUAAAGAGUACUUAUAUCCCUUA